rnacentral:lncRNA from 1 species
GAUUCGCUAAUAUUCAAGCAGUCUAUCAGUUUUUGACUAUUAGAAUAUAAAUGAUUGUAAGAAUGUACCGUAAAUCUAUACGGAUAUCCUUCAACUGCUCCUCGAAAUCCUUUUUGCCCCAACCGGUAGGUCUCUAGACAUUACAGAGAACUCUGAACAACCCAAUCUGCUAAUCUUUGAUACCGCUUUAUACUCACGACCUUGUAUCCACUGACUGUCUUGUUACAUUAACCCAAAAAUUUUCAUUCACUCCACAUACUCAAUCCUAUAGACACCCUUUUAAUUCUUCAAUCAUAGACAUAACUUUGAUUUCACAAAAUAAUCAAGAGUAAUCACACCCACUUCAUUAAAACCCCGAUUCACCAGUACAAUACAUCGACCUUUCAGCAUUCAUCGCCAGAAG